rnacentral:rRNA from 1 species
UACGGGGGGGGCAAGCGUUGUUCGGAAUUACUGGGCGUAAAGGGCUUGUAGGUGGCCAACUAAGUCAGACGUGAAAUCCCUCGGCUUAACCGGGGAACUGCGUCUGAUACUGGAUGGCUUGAGUGUGGGAGAGGGAUGCGGAAUUCCAGGUGUAGCGGUGAAAUGCGUAGAUAUCGGAAGGAACGCCGGUGGCGAAAGCGACACACUGGAUCUUGUCUGACGCUGAGGCACGAAAGCCAGGGGAGCGAACGGG